rnacentral:rRNA from 1 species
UGAGGAAUAUUGCGCAAUGCCCGAAAGGGUGACGCAGCGACGCCGCGUGAAGGAUGAAGGCCCUCUGGGUCGUAAACUUCUUUUGCAGAAGAAUAACAGGUUGCUACAGGCAGCUCUGAAUGUAUUCUGUGAAUAAGCAUCGGCUAACUACGUGCCAGCAGCCGCGGUAAUACGUAGGAUGCGAGCGUUGUCCGGAAUCACUGGGUGUAAAGGGAGCGCAGGCGGGUCGGUAAGUCGCUGGUGAAAUUUCCAGGCUCAACUUGGAAACUGCCAGUGAUACUGCUGAUCUUGGGUGCAGAAGAGGUUGAUGGAAUUCCUGGUGUAGCGGUGAAAUGCGUAGAUAUCAGGAAGAACACCGAUGGCGAAGGCAGUCAACUGGUCUGUUACCGACGCUCAUGCUCGAAAGCGUGGGGAUCAAACAGG